CAAAUUAAUGUAUUUUUAUAAGUGUGGUAUCCAGUGAUCAUGUCUUUAAACAUGCUGAUGUACUGUGGAAAUUUGUCGAUUGACUGAGUGAUUUUUGGUCUCCUCACCCUUUGCUCCACGGUUGCCUUAAAGAAAAAAAACCCCAUUCUAACCGGGUACAAGUAAGCUACCCACGACGUCCAUCGGAACCCCAAUUGGGCACUGAAACUUGACGGUUCCAAUCUUGAAUCUAAAAACACUCACGAGUCAUCUCGUAUCACAUUCUUUCUUGUACAGACGAAGGGUACAUCCAGCUUUGGGCGGCGGCACAUUAAAACACAUGUGCAGUGCCGCCGAUGUGGACGCCGUUCAUUUCAUGCACAGAAAAAAUUAUGUUCAUCAUGUGGAUAUCCUUACCCCAGAAAACGAAAAU